AGUGAACGCUGGCGGUAGGCCUAACACAUGCAAGUCGAACGGCAGCACAGUAAGAGCUUGCUCUUACGGGUGGCGAGUGGCGGACGGGCGAGGAAUACAUCGGAAUCUACUUUUUCGUGGGGGAUAACGUAGGGAAACUUACGCUAAUACCGCAUACGACCUACGGGUGAAAGCAGGGGAUCUUCGGACCUUGCGCGAUUGAAUGAGCCGAUGUCGGAUUAGCUAGUUGGCGGGGUAAAGGCCCACCAAGGCGACGAUCCGUAGCUGGUCUGAGAGGAUGAUCAGCCACACUGGAACUGAGACACGGUCCAGACUCCUACGGGAGGCAGCAGUGGGGAAUAUGGGACAAUGGGCGCAAGCCUGAUCCAGCCAUACCGCGUGGGUGAAGAAGGCCUUCGGGUUGUAAAGCCCUUUUGUUGGGAAAGAAAAGCAGCAGGUUAAUACCCCGCUGUUCUGACGGUACCCAAAGAAUAAGCACCGGCUAACUUCGU
rnacentral:rRNA from 1 species